AAUGAAAGAGGUGUCUGGCAAAUAAGCUUAAAGAAUAAUCCUUUUUUAUUAAAACUGGAGUUAAGAACGCGCUCGUGCGCUCCAGGUGCUCUAAAGAGUGGCUGUCGUGACGUCACUUUUGCGGGAAAAACACGCGUGUAUUUCUGGUCAACAGCAGAGGGCGAAAGAGAGCCGCAUUCGGUCUGUGAAUGGCGCUCGUUAUUCAGCAUCACAACAUGGAGUGACAUCCAACAAAAAUCACUCAAGGAGAAAGAUUCCAGAAGGUUCCAAAGAACCCCAGAAAAAUAUCAUCAUCUGGAGGCCUCUCUCGUAUUGGCUAAGGCUGUCCUGGACUCCACCAUCAGAGACUGAACAAGAAUGGUGUGCAUGGCAGGACAACAAGAUGGUAUCCAAGAACAUUUCGCCAAAGACUGUGUGAAUGAGCCAGAAGACUAUGAAAAGAAUGUUUUUCUUGUCAACAAAUGAAUGUCAGAAAUAAAAUGGAUAGAAAUAAAGGAGUGUUAAAUAGGACCAAAAAAAGACACGAACAGCUAACAGUGGAUAAUCUCGGAAUUUUGGCUAAUGUUCUGGCAAGGUUCUCUUAAAGUUAAAAACAAACAUUAUUCCAGUAGCAUUAAAAGAAUGUUCAAUUUAAAAGUAAUUUUCAUAACUUACUAGGAACAUUAUAAAAGCAUUCUUAGAUCAACUUUUUGUAAGUCUGUCAGCUGUUUAUUGUUGGGUUUGUUCCUCUGAACCAAGACGUCUUGCCUUUAUUGAUAUAAUUAUGAUCAUUUUGCAGCAUUUUCCUG